CCCCGGGGGCCAUACACACAGAAAGAGCUGCUCCCCGGGUAGGAACAACCCACAUGUCCAUCAGCUGAUGAAUGGACCAGUGUAUUGUGCUCUACCCAUACAAGACAACGCUCCUUCCACCUCAAAAGGAACAAGGGACUGACACAUGGUGUGACGUGGAGGAACCUUGAAAACAUGAUGCUAGGGGCAGAAGCCAGACGCAGAAGACCAAAUUCCAUAGGGUCCAUUUGUCUGAAAUGUCCAGAAGAGGCACAGCUGUGGAGACAGAAAAGUGCCUUCCUGGUUCCCAGGGCCUGGGGGGAGGGGCUGGGAAUGACUGAGCAGGGAUGGGGCCUCCUUUGGAGGUGGUGAAAAUGUUCUGCAAUGGAUAAUGAUGACGGUGGCACAACUCGGAAUAUAUCAACCAAGGCUGAAUUUCAUGUGGAUUAUUUCUCAACUUAAAAAAAAAAAACCUGGAGGAAGCAGACUCUGCUUACUUACUAUUAGUAGCAGGCAGAUGGGAAGAUUUCUCAUCUAUGCAUCAAGAACGGGAGAUUACAAAAAAAGCAACACUCAGAAAACAACAAGGACAACCAAAGGAGCUUGGGAAUGUCAUGACAUGAUGGGUGACAUCCAAGACCUAAAGCAAGGUUGGAAGGUAGUGUUGGGAAAGUGUCAGAAAGAGACACAGCUGCAGAGAGAAGAAACGGGAGGCCCGCGUCCCAGGGCAGCAGCUCCCAGGACAAUGAAGGCCAGAAGAAGAUCUUAACAGCCUCCAGGGAGAGGAAAAGAAGGCACCGCACAAAGGCUGCCUUCCUGGCAGCAGCUGUGGGAUCUGUAAGAUGAUGCAGCUGUCUGCAGUGAGAGCAUUUCCCACUGGAUUUCUAGACCUGAAGAAACGGUCCAUCACGUGCAAAGGCAGGAGAAAGGCAUCUUCAGGAAUUUGGGAACCAUCCUCCACUUCCCAGCAGGAAGCACUUUGGUGGGUUUAUCUCAAAAUGCCUCUCCAGGAGCACCCAGGCUUGUUUCUACCCGGUCAAGAAAGGAGACGUCAACCCUGCAGCUCCUUCUCCUCAAACCCUGCCUAACAUGCCUUUCACCCGAGGAACAUGGGCCAUUGAAGACAAGCAGAAGCAUGUGCGUGUGCACGCGCGCGCGCGCACACACACACACACACACACACACACACCCCUGAGGUUUUGGGCAGGGUUGAAACAAAGGCUGCUCUUUUUAUUUUUGCUUGGUGUCUGGUUGUGGGUGGUGAAUAAGCUCCUUUUCUUGGAUGAGGGAGGCCCUCUGCAGCCUGGGCUCCAGGGCCUGCCGGGGAGCAGUGUCUAAUGAGUUACUGGAGAGUCAGAGGUUUUGUGGGACUGUGUGGGAGGACCAGUCGCUCUCUGAUGAGAAACUGUGUCAAAGUUGUUGGCACAGCUGAUGGUCCAUGUUCACAUGCAGACUUGGAACCCGACCAAGCCUGGGGGUGGGGGUGAAACUCUUCUGCCAUUUUGCAGAACGGCAUCCAGCAAAUGUAGGAUAAGCACUGGCCGCUGUUAGGAAAGCCCCAGGAACUACUGACCCAGUAGAUAGAGUCUGCUUCAAGCUGGGAGAGGCUUCCAGAAAAUUCAAGAAACAUCCAGGAAUUGCUGGUUGGCGACAUUAAGUGAAUGGAGGCAUCCUGAAUUUUUUUUUUUUUUUUUUGGCUGUAACCAAAUUGUGUAGUCAUGCAUCUCCUGUUUGGCCUCAUGGGUGCAAAGGUGAGACAGACGUCAUCGUCACUGUUGUCAGGGGUUUAUGGGUAGAAGGGGGGGAACCUGCUCAGGAUGAAGGACAGCAGAGAUGGCUCUUUUGAUCACAAGACUGCUGAGGUCCAUUGCCAAGUAGGAAUGACGCAUGGAAAUUUCCUUGCCAGCGUACCCCAUGUUAAAUGGACUUGCCUUGGAAAUUUGCUGUGACCUUGCAUGUGUGUUUGAGAAAGGUGACCCUGCUCAAUGACCAGGGUGGAUCCAGGAUUAGGAUGUAUCCUGCAGGUUUUAGGAAAUAUCCGGGUUUAAGAUAAUUCAAGUUUAAGGCGUUCCCGGUUUAAGACAAUAGGGGUUUUAGGGAAGUUGGAGGUUGAAGAUUAUUGCUGCUGGGAUUAGGGUGUUCCUGCUGCUUGUU